rnacentral:SRP_RNA from 1 species
GCUGGGCCCAGUGGUGUGCACCUGUAGACCUAGCUGUUUGGGAGGCUGAGGCAGGAGGAUCACUGGAGCCCAGGAGUUCUGGGCUGUAGUGUCCUAUGCCAAUUGGGUAUCAGCACUAAGUUCAGCAUCAAUAUGGUGACCUCAUCUGGGUACAGUGGCUAAUGCCUAUAAUCCCAGCAUUUUAGGAGGCCAAGGUGGGAGGAUCACUUGAGCCUCAGAAUUCGAGGCUGCAGUGAGCUAUGACCAUGCCCACUGCACUUCAGACUUCAGCCUGGGCAACAGAGGCCCUGCCUCUUAAAAAAAAAAAAAAAAAGAAAGAAAGAAAAACAUGGUGUCCUCCUGGGAGUGAAAGACCAGCAGGUUGCCUACAAAGGGGUGAACUGACCCAGGUUGGAAACUGAGCAGGUCAAAACUCCUGUGCUGAUUAGUAGUGGGAUUGCACCUUUGAAUAUCCACUGCACUGUAGCCUGGCCAACACAGUGAGACCCCAUGUCUA